UACGGGGGGGCAAGCGUUGUUCGGAAUUACUGGGCGUAAAGGGCUCGUAGGCGGCCAACUAAGUCAGACGUGAAAUCCCCGGGCUCAACCCGGGAACUGCGUCCGAUACUGGCAGGCUUGAAUCCGGGAGAGGGAUGUGGAAUUCCAGGUGUAGCGGUGAAAUGCGUAGAUAUCUGGAGGAACACCGGUGGCGAAGGCGGCAUCCUGGACCGGUAUUGACGCUGAGGCGCGAAAGCCAGGGGAGCAAACGGG
rnacentral:rRNA from 1 species